UACAGAGGUCUCAAGCGUUGUUCGGAUUCAUUGGGCGUAAAGGGUGCGUAGGUGGCGCUGUAAGUCAGGUGUGAAAUUUCGGAGCUUAACUCCGAAACUGCAUUUGAUACUGCGGUGCUUGAGGACUGGAGAGGAGACUGGAAUUCACGGUGUAGCAGUGAAAUGCGUAGAGAUCGUGAGGAAGACCAGUGGCGAAGGCGGGUCUCUGGACAGUUCCUGACACUUAGGCACGAAGGCCAGGGGAGCAAACGGG
rnacentral:rRNA from 1 species